GGGCUCCGAGCCCAGCUCCACUGGCCCCGGCCGCGGGGCUCGCCCCUCCGUCCCCAAACGACCGUCUCCGCUGCCAUGAGAUGCCGACAGCCUGUGCGCUGGCCGCCACCCCCUGCUCCAUCAGGUGCUGGAAUCUGAGUAAAAGCCUGGGCGCGAGCUCCCAGCCCCGGGGCCUGCCACCGGCUCCACGAAGCGGGCAGCUCCAGCGGCCGCCGGGAGAAGGAAGGGCGACCGGGGGAGACGGGUCGCAGGGACAGCACGUGGCGGAAAGUUAGCCCCGGACUAGCACGCCCCACCCGGAGAAGCCGGCCUGGAAGGGGCUGCGGACCACCAGGCGGAGCGGUGGGCGACCGAAGUGCGGCUGGGCUGGCCUCCUCGUCUCCGCACUGGAAGAAUUGCCCUUCCGCAAGUCUUCCCUUCCCACAUGGGGGCCCUCCAGGCCGCACCUCGGUCGCCCACCGCUUCCCUUGAGAAGGGAGACUAAAGACAGGCAUCUGGAAGCUGUCACUGUGGCGCGCGGGCAGACAGGGGAUCCCAUUGGAGAGGAAGAGCCGUAGUAGUCGCUGCUGCCUUCGGCCGACCCAACGGCCGCCUGCUUGGGAGGAAGAAAAAGAACGCCCCCGCUGAAGAAUUAAGGCAGCCAUUGGUUGCUCUAGGGGUAAGGACCGAGGCCUCCCCUGGGUGUCACUGGAGCAGCCACACGUGGGGGAUCAGCCGACUUCAUUCGAUCGCUGGCGACAGACCCGGCGACCCGUAGGAAUGCGCGCUGGGGCUGCGGCUGGAGGGCGUGGCGACGGCAACAGGCGGGUGGCUCGAGUGGGUGCGACUCUGGGCGCGUGGGACUGAGAACUCCUCCGCCGUGGGGAAGAUUUUUUUCCCAGCAGAUGUUGGGGUGUUACUGCGUGUCUGAGGGGCCGGCGGAAUGGAGGGGUCCCGGUGCGUGCAGGGCAGCGAGGUGUGUCAGAUGAGCUGUGGAUCCCUGCGGCCCCACGUGGGCCGGAGAGGGGGGCCCACGACAACAAGCGAUUGAGGACAGCGAUGGACAGGGCGGGGAACCAGCUGGGUGGAAGCACAGGGAGUGUGGUGAGGAGGGAAGGGCUGUGAUCUGCCCUCGGUACGACGCCCCAAGGGACAGCCUGGCCUCCUGAAUUAGGGAAAAGACAACCGGUCUCUUUAGACGGGCGCCUCAGAGUCUGACCUGAGUCUUCAAACGCCCAGAUCCCCUGGGGCCUUGAGUCUCCCUGUCCCGCUGGCCCUGCCUCGCCUGCGCUUCAGGACUCCGACGCCCCCGCAGCCUUGGGCUAAGGGUCAGUCGUCCCCGGGCGCGGGUCCGGCUGCCCUGGAACUGAUGCUGGAUUUCGCUGGUAGGUGGGCUAGGGGCUUGGUCACCCCGUCUGAAUUCCACUGUCAGGACAGCUGUGGAACCGCCAGAGAAAAGUCUGGCCAUGAAAGAAAGGUGAGGGGCGCCGACGCAGAGCUUAUUUAUUCAGUCUGUGGGCGGACUCAGACGUGCAGAGCACCAACCUCUUCAAUUUCUGCCCUCUAGACUCCAAAUCUUUUGAAAUUAGGGACCACCAUUUUAUGCCAAACAUACAGUAGGCGCUCAAUAAGUGUUGAAUUAAGAUUACACAUAAAUGGGCCGGGCGCGGUGGCUCACGCCUGUAAUCCCAGCACCUUGGGAGGCUGAGGUGGGCCAACAUGGUGAAACCUUGGCUCUAAAAAAAUGCAAAAAUUAGCCAGGCAUGGUGGCGCUUGCCUGUAGUCCCAGCUACUAUAGAGGCUGAGGUGGGAGAGUCGCUUGAACUCUGGAGGCGGAGGUUGCAGUGAGCCGAGAUCGCGCCACUACACUCCAGUCUGGGUGACGCAGUGAGACCCUGUCUCAAAAAAUAUAUAAUAAUAAGAUUACACACAGAUGGGUGCUGUGCAAAGGGAGGGGGAAGACAAAUACUUUCUUCUGCAGCUCUGGUACAUGGACAUUUUGUCCUUUCUCCAUAAGGAGGAUCAGACAGCAGCAGCACUGCCCAUGGACCAGAGGCCUCAUGUAAGGCCUGGGAAAAGAGGGCUCCACACACCACCAACCGGAUGUAAGGGCAGUUGCAAAGGAACUGUGUUAUCUUGACCAGAACAGACUGUAGAAUUUGUUUAUCAAAUUUUUUUUUUUUACUUAUUUAUUUUGUGAAUGUAUAUGCUGUAAACUCAUCUGCUUAGAUUGUAAGAAUGUGAAUGCCCUACCUUGGUGGGUAGGUUAGUUUAUUCUAAUCAGCAAAACUUAACGUUACAUAUUCCAACAUCUCAUUUGGGAUGUGAAGAUGCUAUGGGGAGGGUGGGUAUCCUGGCAUUGCUAGAAUGUUGGAGCCUUAGCGAGAGAGUGGCAGAGUGGGGAGAACCUGGCACUUCAGCUACAGAUGAUCACUUAUGAGCUUUGUUAUAUCAAAUAAGUUAAACUUUCAUCUCAUUUUUUUUUUUUCUAUUGUAAAAUAGGGUAGUAACAGUGAGUCCUGGGGGAGGACGUGUUCUGUUAGCCAGAUCCACUCUCCAACCUGCUGUCUGUCCUUUGGAGCCUUAACUCAAGAGACUUUCUUUCCCUCUAGCUUCCAGUUGAGUGAAGGCACUAGGAAGCAACAGCGAUGGAACAAAGAGGAAGGAGUAUGGUUAUUUAUUCCCCCCUGGCUCCCUUACUAUGGCACCAUUGCAGGCUGGUUGCCUCCCUCAACCAAAGGAAGCAGCCAGUAUCCCUCCCUAGGGUGACCCAGAGUAAACCCCUAUGGUUUCCCUUCAUUUUGCACAUACCUUUGCAGAUAGUCUUUUUAUAAAACUCUACUCACAUUAUCCAGUAGGAAUGAACAUCUCAUUCCUUCACAGAAUUGUUUUGAGAGUUAACUGAGAAAAUACUGUAUUAUUAUUAUUAGAAUGACCUAUAAUUUCUGUCCAAACUGAGAAACUUUUGAGGCUGGGAAAAGGGGGUUUGUGCUGAUAGUAAUGAUGUCAGGACAAUAGGAAAAACAAGGACUUAUGGCCACCCCAGCUAUUAUUGCCAGUAAACUCUGCUUUAGACAUAUUAAGCAAUCAAGAAGUGGUCGUACUAUCACGCUUCUGUCACUAGACUAUGAAUGUCUCAAGGUAAGAGUGCUUUUUUGUCUAUUAGCUUCUGUCACAUGGUCUGGUAUAUUCAAUAAAUUUUGAGUUGGAGAUGAGGGUAAAGACUAGGAAAUGAAUAAUUUUUAUUGCCAUACUAAGGUAAUGAAGAGUCAAGGAGGUCUUUAAGCAAAGAAAAUUUGCAUUUUAGAAAACAGCUAUAGUGAAUAUUUGGCAUUGUUAGUAAUUUAGGGUCUAUUCCCUUUUUAAUUGAACCCCAAUUUAUUUGGAGAGCUUUUCCAAUGAAUGUUUCAACUUGGUAAAAAGUAAAUGCCUCUUAAAAAAGAGGUUCUGGGCCAGGCGUACUGGUUCAUGCCUUGUAAUCCCAGCACUUUGGGAGGCCAAGGCGGGCAGAUCACCUGAGGUCAAGAGUUCGAGACCAGCCUGGCCAACAUGGCGAAACCCCACCUCUACUAAAAAUACAAAAAUUAGUGGGAUGUGCUGGUGCAUGCCUGUAAUCCCAACUACUCGGGAGGCUGAGGCAGGAGAAUAGCUUGAACUCACAAGGUGGAGGUUGCAGUGAGCCGAGAUCGCACCAGUACACUUCAGCCUGGCUGACACAGCCAGACUCCAUCUCAAAACAAAACCAAAAAAAGAGGUUCCUCGCUGGCUGUGGUAGCAUGGUGUAGUCCCAGCUACUCAAGAGGCUGAGGCAGGAAGAUCACUUAAAGCCAGGAGUUUAAGGCUGUAGUGCGUUAUGAUUGAGCCUGUGAACAGCCACCGUACUCCAACCUGGGCAACAUAGCAAGAUCUCACGUCCAAAAAAAUUAAUUUAAUUUAUUUUCAAUAAGAGGCUCCUGAAGAGACGUUCCAUCACACCCUUCCUUUCAUCACCACAGUACAUACAUUCUUAAGAAAGUAUGUGAUCUAAGCUUGGCCAAUUAGAUGCUGUUACAUUUGAAUUUUGAAUCAAGAGACACAAAGACAAUACAAAUUGUUACAGUUUAUGCAGGCCAUAAAUUAUUUUUUACUUUUUGGCAAAUUGUUACAGUUUAUGGGGUCUACAAUUUAUUUUUUUAUUUUCUGGCUUAAGUUAUCUAGGAUUUGUUUCUGUGGUUUACAGUCAAAGAACCCAAAGACCAGAUCACUCUUGACUACCAUAAAAAUGAUUAAUUAUAAAGGGAUACAAGAAAAACAGGAGGCUGGGCACAGUGUCUCAUGGCUGUAAUCCCAGCACUUUGGGAGGCCAAGGUGGGUGGAUCACUUGAGGUCAGAAGUUCGAGACCAGCCUGGCCAACAUGGUGAAACCCCAUCUCUACUAAAAAUACAAAAGUUAGCCGGGCGUGAUGGUGGGCGCCUGUAAUCCCAGCUACUUGGGAGGCUGAAGCUUGAGAAUCACUUGAACCGGGGAGGCAGAGGUUACAGUGAGCCGAGAUCGCACCGCUGCACUCCAGCCUGGGCAAUAGAGCAAGACUGAGUCACAGAACAACAACAACAACAACAAACAAAAGCACACACACAAAACAGGUGAUAAGUUAGCUAUUGCCACUUUAAUUUUGGAUGGUUUAACUGACUGUCCUGAACUGACUGAUCCUGAACUCCUUCUGCAACACAAUAUGUAAAAAUGUUCAUUAAAACAUUGUAAAAUGCAUCUACAUUUGAGAGGAAAAAGUAAAACUCUCUAUUCACAGAUAACACAAAUAUACAGAAAAUCCUAAGGAAUCCACUAAAAAAUCAUUAGAAGUAAUAAAUGAACUCAGCAAGUUUACAAGAUACAGGAUCCACUGAGAUUCUGAUAAACAUGGAAGGCAAAAACAUUGAAACCGUCAUUUAUAAACUCACAUAGGCUCCAGUGAUUAUCUCUUCUUUUCUUUGUUAAAAAAAUGCAUUUAAAAAUCAUUCUAGAAAAUUGUUAGGCAAUGUUAAAUUUACCAAUAACUCUGACUCUUCUUUGCCCCUACCACUUUUUAUUAUCUUUGAAAAUCAAGACAAUAUUUGCCCUUCUUCAAUCUUUUAUCAUUUCUUAUUUUUCUCUGGCUUCUGGAAAGUGAGUAAUUACCUUUACGAUCACUUAUGAAAUCUCUUGCAUGGAUAAUUCAUUUAGGCCUAGAAACUCAUUUAAAGCAAUCGAUUGCUUGCUUACCAUGCUGGAUUUUAGUAGCCUUUAAAUCAUGUUUAUUCUACCUUUUUUCAUUAAAACAUUAGUCUCUUUGGGAGAGGAGACAAAUAAAUUAAAACUUGAGUUUUACCUUUUCUUUGUCAUCUGAUAGCAUUAUGUCAUCAGCACGAAGCAGUAGCUUCCAUCCUUUCUUGUUCACCCUCUUGUGGCAAGUAUUACUUGAAAAACAAAAAAAUAAAUUUAAAAAAAGUCUUUGUAUUCUUUUUAAAGGCAAAAAUUAUCUAAGCCUGCAGGGACAUUUCCAUUCUUAUAGGCUAUGGUACUCUUUAAAGCACGCUGUUUAAAAAAUCUGAUUGCAAUAAGUAUGUCCUGUGAAGUGACAUGCUCCUUAGAGUAAGAUGACUUGGCUUGCUGGCCACUCUGUUUGGCAGCCAGCCCUGGAGCUGGGUCAGUUUCCCCUGGCUCUGGCAUCACUCCUUCUCAGAUAAUUCCUUUCUCCCUGUGGCCAGUCAUUGUGGUGACAGUUAUUAUUCUUUUUCAUGAGCCUAGAAAAUUUAUGUGGUGGAUGUCCCUCUGAAUACUAGAUACUGCCACUGAAUUAGAAGAGAAUCAUAUGCACUUGUAUAUUCUGACAGCCAUGUCACUUACACCUUCUCACCUUUUGUCUCGUCCUAUUUGCUAUCUACCAUUCUACCACUGUCCAUUUCUACCAGCUGAAUAACUCUCUGAUGCAGGGGUUACUCUGCACCCUCAUCUCCCUUACUGUAGACUUGUUCCUUUUGAAUGAGAUAAAAUUUCCUUGACUUAUAAUAUUUCAGUCAUAAUUUCCUUGCUACCUCAUGUACCGAUACCUAUUGGAUUAUGUUCAUUUUGUUAAUUUUCCCAAGUUCAAUUUGCUUUACCACUAAUUCUCUCUUUCCAGGCUGAGAUUUCAAAAGUCAUCAGCAUUAUAUUUCACCUUACUUCUGUCUGUUUUAUUGAGUCCCAUCUGAAUCAGCAGAAGUGGCUGUAGGUUGGCUGGUAUCAUGAAUUUUGGCAGAUUAUGCUUCAUGAGUCAUCAUUCCACACUUUAGGAAGAUAACGAACUAGCCGUUGCAAGACUGCCUUCCUACUCAUCAGCAGAGAAAACAUGGACUUGGAAGCCAGGACACUUGCGUUCGUGUUCCUACACUGUCAAACAUCAUGAGCUAUGCAAAAUUUUUAAGUUGAUGUAUUUGGAUAUAGGCGAAGCUGCUGUAAUGGGAAUAUCCCAAGAGUCAUUGGUUAAAGAAAAAUAGAUGGUUUUUUGUUUGUUUGUUUUUGAGACAGUCUUGCUCUGUCACCCAGGCUGGAGUGCAGUGGUGCGAUCUCAGCUCAUUGUAAACUCCACCUCCUGGGUUCAAGUGAUUCUCCUGCCCCGGUCUCCCAAAUAGCUGGGACUACAGGUGCAAGCCACCAUGCACGGCUAAUUUUUGUGUAUUUCUAGUAGAGAUGAGAUUUCACCAUGUUGGCCAGACUGGUCUCAAACUCCUGACCUCAGGUGAUCUACCUGCCUCGGCCUCCCAAAAUGCUGGGAUUACAGAUGUGGGCCACCGCACCCAGCCUAGAUGUUUAUUUCCGAUUGUUACCUUAUCUACUCUGAUCAAAACAGUCUCACCAGCACCAUAUCCACAUUCUAGCCCAUGGAAAGGGUAAAGAAAAGAAAGUGGAAGAUAUUAGUUUCCAUUUAAGGAAGUGACAUGGAAAUAAUAUAAGUCACCUGUGUUCACAUUCCACUGGCAAAAAUUCAGUCACAGGAAUGUACUUAGCUGCAGAGGAGGCUAGGAUAUGCCCUCCAAAAACUCAGGGGGGAUGUCCUACUUGUAAAAGGAAGAAAUGAAAAAUGGACACUGAGAGGAAAUCAGCAGUCUCAGAGGUAAUAUACUUACACAGUUUUUUAAAAAACAUAAAAUGAUGCAGAAUGAAGUUUCCACUCUAUUCACCAUCUAUCCAGUCCUCAUGCCUCCCAACAAGAGGUAAAUACUUUAUUAUUGUGUCAUGUAUCUUUCCAGAGUUUUUCUAAGCAAUUUGCAACAGAUAUAAAUAUGUAUCCUUAUUUCCUACCUUACCCCAUAUUGUACAUGAAAGAAAAAAUAUACUAUGUAUAACAUUCUGUAUCUUUUUUUCACUUAAUAUAUUUUGCAGUUCCUUUUAUAUAGAUACAUAGUUACCUUCUUCAUUCAUUUAUACAGCUGCCUACUGUUUCUAAGGCUAUAUCACUGAUAAAGUCUCAUGGAUACACUCAAGGUUUUUUCAGUCUUUUAUCAUGAUAAACCAUGCCGCAAUAAUAACCUUGUACUAGUCAUUUUUAACAUGUGAAAGUAUAUCUGCAAGAUACAUUUCCAGAAAUGGGAUUAGCCAAUCAUAUGAUAUUAAGCCAACCUUUUGAUCUCUUUGAGCUGCAUUUGUUAACUAAUAAAUUAAGCUCAUAUUUACCUCAUAGGAUCAUUAUUAUAAUGAAAUAACCAUAUAAACAAUUAUUGUACAACAAUAUCAAAAACAAAAUAGAGAUAAGUUUAUCAAAAUAUGUGUAAGAUCUGUACUCUAAAAACCUAUAAAACUGUGUUGAGAGAAAUUAAAGGAAGCCUAAAGUAAUGGAGAAAUAUACCAUGAUCAUGGAUUGAAAGACUCAAUAUUGUUAAUAUGUAAUUCUCCCUAAAUUGAUCUACAGAUUCAAUAUAAUCCCAAUUGAAAUCCAAGCAAGCUUUUUUUAAAAAUAGAAAUUAACAAUCUGAUUGUAAAAUGUAUGUGAAAACACAAAAGACCUAUGCUAGCUAGCCAAAACAAUUUUGAAAAAGAACAAAGUUGGAUAACUUACACUGUGCAAUUUCAAUACUUAACUAAAAAGCUACAAUAAUCAAGACAUGGAAUCGGCCAACAUACAAUCAUAUAGUCCAGUGGGAGAGCAUAUGGAAAGUCUACAUAUAGACACAUAUGGUCAAUUGAUUGUUGGCACAAGUGCCAAGAUAAUUCUAUGGGAAAGGACAAUCUUUUCAACUAAUCAUACUGGGACUAUUGGAUAUCCAUAUAGAAGAAAAGAACCUCAAACCUUAUUUCACCUAUACACAAGAUUGAAUCCAAUGGAUCAUAAACCUAAGUGUAAACAGUAAAGCUUUGUUUAGAAGAAAACAAAGAAAAACUCUUCAUGACUGUGGGUUAGGCAACAGUUUUGUAGAGGAGACACAGAAAGCACUAACCAACUGGAUAUUAUCAAACUUCAAAUUUUUGCUCCUCAAAAUACACCACUAAGAAACUAAAAAGGUAAGCCACAGACUGGGGAAAAAUACCUACACUAUUUGCAAAAAAUAAUAAUGACAAAAUAUGUGAACAUACACAUAAUAAAAGAAGAUACAUGUUUGGCCAAAUGCAUGUGAAAUGGUGGUCAACAUCAUUAGUCAUCAGAGAAAUGCAAAUUAAAGUACAAUUGUAUGCCUCCUAGUAGAAUGGUGAAAAUUAGAAAGACUGAUGAUUCCAGUUGUUCGGGAAGAUGUGGAGUACUGGAACUCUGAUGCCUUGUUGCUGUCUUUGUUUAGUGUUGGUAUAACAGAAUACCUGAGGCUGGAUAUUUUACUUUAAAAAAGAGGUUUAUUGGGCUUAUGAUUGUGGUGACUAGAAGAGUCAAGAUUGGGCAGCUGCAUCUGAUGAAGGCCUCAUGUUGCUUCAACUCAUGACAGAAAGCAGAAAGAGAGAGUGUGUGUAAAGAUCACAUUGUGAGAGAGGAUGCAAGAGAGAGAAGCCAAGGAAGCCAAACUCAUUUUUAACAACUUGCUAUCAUGGGAACUAAUUCAUUCUCUCAGAGCAAGAACUACUCACCUCUGUAGGAGGGCAUUCAUCUAUUCUUGAGGGAUCCAUCUCCCUCACCCAAACACCUUCCACUAGCCUACCUCCCAACACCACCACACUGGGGAUAAAAUUUCAAUAUGCAUUCCAGUAGGGACAGACCACAUCCAAACCAUUGCAGUUGGUGAAAAUGCAAAAUGUACAAGCACUUUGGAAAACAGAUUGGCAGUUUCUUAUGUAGUUAAACAUAUAUUUACCAUAUGACUCUACAUUUACACUAAAAAAUAGUUACACGACAGAAAUAAUGAGUCCACAAAAAAGCAUUCAUAGCAGCUUUAUGCAUAGCAGCCAAAAAAUGAAACAGCCCAAGAGUUCAACAACAGGUUAACUGACAAACAAAUUGUGGUACCUAUAUUUACAUAAUAGAACCCUGCUUUGGUAUAAAAUAAACCAUGGAUACAUGCAAAAUGUAGAUAAAUCUCAAAUACAUUAUUCUGAGUGAAAGACGUCAGACCCCAAAAUUACAAAUGGUAUGAUUCAACAUAUAUGAAAUUCUAAAAACACAAAACUGUAGUUACAGAAAGCAAAACAAUGGUGGCUUGGGGUAUCAGAUGAGGAGGAUGGACUUGAAAAGAGCACAGGAUGGACUUUUGGAGUGAUAAAAAUCUGUAUCAUGGUUAUAGUGAUGAUUAGAUGAGUGAAUGAAUUUGUCAAAAUUCAUUUGUCUGUACACUUAAAAUGGGUAUGGUUGUAUACAGGUUAAACAUCAAUAAAAAAAUCUUAAAUUGCUGUACUAAUAUUGUUUUUGUGAUAUCAAAACCUGUAAGAGUGGACCUCUUUCUCUACAAGUUAUCACAUGCCAUCAAACUUUUGCUUAGAUUUGUUGAAUGCUUUUCUGUCUCAGGCACCAUGCAAAGUAUUUUGUAUGCAUCUCUCAUUUAAUCAUCACAGCAAUCCUCUGGCAUUUCUCCAUUUCUUGAUGAGGAUACUAAAGCACAGAGACAAUAAGAAUAUUAUCCACUUUGGGAGGUCAAGGCAGGAGGAUGGCUUGAGGCCAGGUGUUUGAGACCAGCCUGGGCAACAUAGCAAGGACCCAUCUCUACAAAAAACAAAACAAAACAAAAUCAUCCACGUUAUCCAAUGUCUAAUUACACUGUGAAAUUAAUAAGUGGUAGAGCUAGGAUUCAAGCCCAAGUUUGUUACCCUACACCACCCACAUCUCUCAACAAGCUAUGUUGCCUCCUCAGCACUCAUAUCUUUCUUAAUAUAGCUCUUGGAGUUUCACUCACAAAGGCUAAGAGAAUCACCUCCAUUGUGAAAACACUACAAAUCAUAAGGUCUAGCAUUUGAAGGAGAAUCAUUAGUUGUGAAGAGACAGCCAACCAAGGAGACCCAACUUGGUUCUUUUUUUCUUUUUUUUUCUUUUUUUUUUUUGUGAGACGGAGUCUCACUCUGUUGCCCACUCAGCUCACUGCCAGCUCCACCUCCCGGGUUCAUGCCAUUCUCGUGCCUCAGCCUCCCGAGUAGCUGAGACUAUAGGCGCCUGCCACCACGCCCGGCUAAUUUUUUGUAUUUUUAGUAGAGACAGGGUUUCACUGUGUUAGCCAGGAUGGUCUCAAUCUCCUGACCUCAUGAUCCGCCCGCCUCGGCCUCCCAAAGUGCUGAGUUUACAGGUGUGAGCCACUGCGCCCGGCCCCAACUUGGUUCUUACUGAAUAUAUGUUUAGCACAAUCUAGUACAUAGGAGGCACUAUUAUUGUUGUUAUUAUAUUAUUUUACAUACCCCUUGGGAUUCUCUUCUGUCUGCUGCCACUACUAUAUUGGCACUCAGGAUCUGCUGAUCCCCUUUAAUACCCUGGCCCCAGUCCACACAAAGACUCUUCCUUGUUUUCCCCUUAGCAAAACUGAAAUUGCUGGAACUUAAAAAAGCUUAAUGCUAGUGGAGUACAAAAGGCAAACAAGAAAAUACAUAAUUAGGAUAAAAGCCACCUGGCUUACAAAAUAUAUGUUUCUGAACUUAGCAUUUAUUCAUUAAACAUUUACCAAUAGUGUAUACUAUGAAAAAAAAAACAAUGUGUAAGACAACAUGUAUGCUGCACUACCACUUCUGUAAAAAGGGAAGAGAAUGCAUCUAAAUGAACAUGCAUCUUCAGAAGGAUGCACUAGAGAUUGAGAAUAGUGUUUGCUUUUGUGAAAGAGCACGUGCAGCAGGUGUGGGUCAAGGUGAUGAACAUUGUGAGUGACUCAACCACAUCCAUUCUACACAAAUGCAUUUGGAAAAUGGACUUUUUAGCCAGGGAUGGCUCUGAUUGUUACAGGUAUGAUUCCUUUCCCCUGACAGUGAUUUGUUAAAGAAGAGAUAUGUGACCCAAUUCUGUCCAGUGAAUGAGAGGAGAGCAGAGGAGAGGUUUGCUGGAAGGUUCUAGAAUUUGCUUUCUUACUCUAAGGACAAAUUCACAGAAAGUCAGUUGGACACAAAUAAGGAAGGAUGAAGCCCAACUGUUUCCAUUUGACAACUGUGAAAUAAAUUAGCCUUAGGCUGAAGCCCAGGCAGUAGAGAGCAGAGUAGAAAAACAGAAAGAAUCUGUGUCCUUGAUAAUACGGUGAAGCUGCUAAAUCAACUAACUGAACCCCAUCUCGCAUCUCUGGUAAGAGAGUGAAUACAUUUCCCUACCAGUCAGGUAUGAGGUUUCUAUUGCUUGCGGCUGAAAACAAUUAGUGCAGAUGGAGACUUACUUAUCUUCUUUUAUGUUUCUGUAUCUUCCUUUUUUGAAUUACGUGCAUGUAUAUCUAUUUUUAAAAUUUUUAAGAGUUUAUGUGGGCCGGGCGCGGUGGCUCAUGCCUGUAAUCCCAGCACUUUGGGAGGCCGAGGCAGGCGGAUCACCUGAGGUCAGGAGAUCGAGACCAUCCUGGCCAACAUGGUGAAACCCCGUCUCUACUAAAAUACAAAAAAUUAGCUGGGCAUGGUGGUGCGCACCUGUAGUCCCAGCUACUCAGGAGGUUGAGGCAGGGGAAUCGCUUGAACCCAGGAGGCGGAGGUUGCACUAAGCCGAGAUCACGCCACUGCACUCCCACCUGGCUACGGAGCAAGACUCCAUCUCAAAAAAAAAAAAAAAAAAGUUUACUUGUUCCAGGCAUUGGGAAAACUCACUUUAAUCUGUAGGGGUUUUUCUCAAGAUGGGCUUUCUUAAGAAACUUGCUUCUUCCUCAUCAGUGAUCUCAACCACCCAAACUCCUCCAGGAAGAUGUAGAUUUACUCUUUAGAAUGAAUAUGGGUUGAACUAUAUGAAAUUGACAUUUUUUUGUACCAAAUAUUGGUAAUUUCACAGUAUAAAUCAGUGUUCAGGUAGAAGAAAUUCACAUGUUACAACCAUGGGCAUCAGUCCUCCCUGCCAAUGCUCUUGGUCAUCGAACUUUUCACUUGGUCUUUCCCCAGUUGCUGUUUAUUUUAAUCCUUUUACCCCUAGAUCACAGAGAAUUGAUGGAGAAAGAAAAGAACCCUGCAGCUCAGAUCACUAUACGUUCAUGCUGUCUAACCCUGUUUUUGUUUUCUCUAUUACUUGUCAUUUCCUCUAGCAGCUAUAUCAUGCUUCCUGCUUACAGAGAAAACCAAAUCUUCCCACCAGGGCUAUCCUUAUGCACCCUCAUAUACAAAUUGCACCUCUGUCUAUAACUCUCGGCAUCCCUUCUCUUUCCCAAAGAUGCUGUCCCAGACCCUGCACUCUCAAUUGUCUGAUGUUGGAGCAGCAGAUAAAGCAAAUAAAUAACACUAAUACAUCAUAAUCUAGAGUAUUAGUUAGCUAUUGCUGCAUAACAAAUUAUCCCCCAAAAUGUAGUGGCUUAAAACAAUCACCAGUGAUUAUCUCAGUUUCUGUGGGUCAGGAAAUCAGAAGUGGCUUACCAAGUGGUUCUGGCUCAGGUUUUGUGGCAUGGCAGUCAUGAUGCUGGCUAGGGCUGCAGUCAUCUGAAGGUGUGGAAGGGGCUAAAGAUCUGCCUCCAAGAUGGCUCACUCACAUGCAUGGCAAGUUGACACUGGAUGUUGGUGAGAGGACCCAGUUCUUCGCCAUGUAGUUUUCACCAUAAGGCUAAGUGAGUGUCCUUAUGACAUGGCAGCUGACAUUCCCAAAACCAGUGAUCCAAGACAGAGCAAAGAGCAAGGUGGAAACCACAAGGUCUCUCAUGACCUCACCCUAGAAAAUUAUACUGUAUAAUUCCUACAAUAUCCUAUUUGUUGUCAUAUUAGCUCUAUUCAAUGCAGGAGAUGACUACGGGAAGUGUGAAUACCAGAAGGCAAGAUCACUAGAAACUAUCAUGGAGGCCGAACACCACAGGUAGUUAUUAUUAUCUCCAGUAUACAGAUGAGAAAACCAAUUCUCACUGGGUCUAUAACAUAUGUCAAAGUCACACAUCAACAAAACAGUGGUAGAGGCUGAUCUGCCUCUUAAACCCAUACACUUGCUACUGUCAUCCUGCCUCUGGUGUGGUGGUGUACUAUCCUGGAAUGACUUUGAAUUGUUAUGUCACUGUUAAACUAUUGUUUAAUUUUUUUGCCUAACCAUAUUUUAUAAUUUUUCCUUUUUCUUACAAAGCUGUGCAUAUGGUAGACAUUCAGUAAACAGUUAUUUCUACCCAAUAAGUCAACUUAGAAAAACGGAAGGGUUGGCACCCUUAUAAAGGUUUGACAUGGCUACUGUUGUCCAAUGAUAUUCUAGUUUCAGUAGGAGCAAAUUAAUGAUAAUAAUAAUUAAGGGAGAUAGAAGGAUAACUGGACAUGAAUCAUAUUGGCCCUAGCAGAAGGGUUGGGGAGAAAAAAAGAGGCCAAGUUCAAUUCUUUUUAGGGUUAACCCCACAUUGGAUCCCAAACUGGAUCUGAUCACCUUUCUCUCUGAUUCUUCUUAUCAUCAUCUUCCUCAAUCAGAUGAAGUUUCCUAAUAGAAAGGGGUUGAAUUUUAAUGUAUUAUCAAUUCAUUCUCUGGUCCUAUGCAAUAACAGGGUUCAUAUUGGUAUCUGGAUUUAAAUAUUAUUUAUUUCAAUUUGUUGAUGUUUAGGUAAAUUUUAUAUAUAUAUACAUAUAUAUGUAGGUAUACUGUUUAUUUAUAAAAAUCUUAGAAUCUUUAAUAAGCCAAC
rnacentral:lncRNA from 1 species